UCUAUGGCUAAUACAUGCGCAAUCGCCUCCUUCUCUGGAUGGGCUGUGUUUAUUAGAUACAAAACCAACCCACUUUGUGGAGUCAUGGUGAUUCAUAGUAACCGAACGGAUCGCAUUUUGGUCAUUUUUGGCCCGCGAUGGAUCAUUCAAGUUUCUGACCUAUCAGCUUUCGACGGUAGGGUAUUGGCCUACCGUGGCAGUGACGGGUAACGGGGAAUUAGGGUUCGAUUCCGGAGAGGGAGCCUGAGAAACGGCUACCACAUCUAAGGAAGGCAGCAGGCGCGCAAAUUACCCAAUGAAAACAGUUUCGAGGUAGUGACGAGAAAUAACAAUACAGGGCAUCUUUUGUUCUGUAAUUGGAAUGAUGGGAAUGUAAAACCCUUCCAGAGUAACAAUUGGAGGGCAAGUCUGGUGCCAGCAGCCGCGGUAAUUCCAGCUCCAAUAGUGUAUAUUAGAGUUGUUGCAGUUAAAAAGCUCGUAGUUGGAUUUCUGUCGUGGUCAACCGGCGCCGCCCGUAUGGGUGCGUGCCUGGUUUGCCCGCGGCUUUCUUCUGGUUAGCCUUCCGCGCUUAAUUGCGUGUGUUGGUGUUCCGGAACUUUUACUUUGAGAAAAAUAGAGUGUUUCAAGCAGGCUUGUCGCCCUGAAUACUUCAGCAUGGAAUAAUAAGAUAGGACUUUGGUUCUAUUUUGUUGGUUUCUAGGACCAAGGUAAUGAUUAAUAGGGACAGUUGGGGGCAUUCGUAUUUAACUGUCAGAGGUGAAAUUCUUAGAUUUGUUAAAGACGAACUACUGCGAAAGCAUUUGCCAAGGAUGUUUUCAUUAAUCAAGAACGACAGUAGGGGGUUUGAAGACGAUUAGAUACCGUCGUAAUCUCUACCAUAAACUAUGCCGACUAGAGAUAGGGAAAUGCCUACCUUGGCUUCUCCUGCACCUCAUGAGAAAUCAAAGUCUCUGGGUUCUGGGGGAAGUAUGGUCGCAAGGCUGAAACUUAAAGGAAUUGACGGAAGGGCACCACCAGGCGUGGAGCCUGCGGCUUAAUUUGACUCAACACGGGGAAACUCA
rnacentral:rRNA from 1 species